rnacentral:rRNA from 1 species
AGUGAACGCUGGCGGUAGGCCUAACACAUGCAAGUCGAACGGCAGCACAGUAAGAGCUUGCUCUUACGGGUGGCGAGUGGCGGACGGGUGAGGAAUACAUCGGAAUCUACUUUUUCGUGGGGGAUAACGUAGGGAAACUUACGCUAAUACCGCAUACGACCUACGGGUGAAAGCAGGGGAUCUUCGGACCUUGCGCGAUUGAAUGAGCCGAUGUCGGAUUAGCUAGUUGGCGGGGUAAAGGCCCACCAAGGCGACGAUCCGUAGCUGGUCUGAGAGGAUGAUCAGCCACACUGGAACUGAGACACGGUCCAGACUCCUACGGGAGGCAGCAGUGGGGAAUAUUGGACAAUGGGCGCAAGCCUGAUCCAGCUAUACCGCGUGGGUGAAGAAGGCCUUCGGGUUGUAAAGCCCUUUUGUUGGGAAAGAAGAGCAGCAGGUUAAUACCCCGCUGUUCUGACGGUACCCAAAGAAUAAGCACCGGCUAACUUCGUG